rnacentral:rRNA from 1 species
AGUGAACGCUGGCGGUAGGCCUAACACAUGCAAGUCGAACGGCAGCACGGGAGAGCUUGCUCUCUGGGUGGCGAGUGGCGGACGGGUGAGGAAUACAUCGGAAUCUACUCUGUCGUGGGGGAUAACGUAGGGAAACUUACGCUAAUACCGCAUACGACCUACGGGUGAAAGCAGGGGAUCUUCGGACCUUGCGCGAAUGAAUGAGCCGAUGUCGGAUUAGCUAGUUGGCGGGGCAAAGGCCCACCAAGGCGACGAACCGUAGCUGGUCUGAGAGGAUGAUCAGCCACACUGGAACUGAGACACGGUCCAGACUCCUACGGGAGGCAGCAGUGGGGAAUAUUGGACAAUGGGCGCAAGCCUGAUCCAGCCAUACCGCGUGGGUGAAGAAGGCCUUCGGGUUGUAAAGCCCUUUUGUUGGGAAAGAAAUCCAGCUGGCUAAUACCCGGUUUGGAUGACGGUACCCAAAGAAUAAGCACCGGCUAACUUCGUGCCAGCAGCCGCCGUAA